GAUGAACGCUAGCGGCAGGCUUAACACAUGCAAGUCGAGGGGUAGAGGAAGCUUGCUUCCUUGAGACCGGCGCACGGGUGCGUAACGCGUAUGCAACCUACCUUUUACAGAGGGAUAGCCCAGAGAAAUUUGGAUUAAUACCUCAUGGUAUAUAUCAUUCGCAUGUUUGAUAUAUUAAAGUUCCAACGGUAAAAGAUGAGCAUGCGUCCCAUUAGCUAGAUGGUAAGGUAACGGCUUACCAUGGCGACGAUGGGUAGGGGUCCUGAGAGGGAGAUCCCCCACACUGGUACUGAGACACGGACCAGACUCCUACGGGAGGCAGCAGUGAGGAAUAUUGGACAAUGGGCGCAAGCCUGAUCCAGCCAUGCCGCGUGCAGGAUGACGGUCCUAUGGAUUGUAAACUGCUUUUGUACAGGAAGAAACACACCCUCGUGAGGGAGCUUGACGGUACUGUAAG
rnacentral:rRNA from 1 species